rnacentral:misc_RNA from 1 species
GAUGAAGAACGUAGCGAAAUGCGAUAAGUAAUGUGAAUUGCAGAAUUCAGUGAAUCAUCGAAUCUUUGAACGCACAUUGCGCCCCCUGGUAUUCCGGGGGGCAUGCCUGUUCUAGCGUCAUUUCACCACUCAAGCCUCGCUUGGUAUUGGGCAACGCGGUCCGCCGCGUGCCUCAAAUCGACCGGCUGGGUCUUCUGUCCCCUAAGCGUUGUGGAAACUAUUCGCUAAAGGGUGUUCGGGAGGCUACGCCGUAAAACAACCCCAUUUCUAAGGUUGACCUCGGAUCAGGUAGGGAUACCCGCUGAACUUAAGCAUAUCAAUAAGCGGAGGA